rnacentral:rRNA from 1 species
ACCAGUAGUGAAGUAUGUUGUUUAAUUUGAUAAUCCGCAAAAAACCUUACCACAAUUUGAAUAUUUAUAUCGUUGAUAUAAUUACAAGCGUUGCACGGCUGUCUUCAGUUAAUGUCGUGAGAUUUUGGUUAGAUCCAUUAAAUUAACGCAAGCCCUUACUUUAUUUUAAAAUAAAGUCGUUCCCCACUAGAUUGGAUAAGAUAACAGGGAUUAAGACAAGUCAUCAUGGCCUAAAUAUUGUGGGCUAUAGAC